CUCAGAACGAACGCUGGUAGCGUGGAUUAGGCAUGCAAGUCGAACGGGAUCCGGAAGGCAGCAAUGUCGGCCGGUGAGAGUGGCGGAAGGGCGAGGAACACGUGGGCAACCUGUCCAGGAGGUGGGGAAAACCUCGGGGAAACUGAGGCUAAUACCGAAUGUGGCGCCCGCUCGCAUGAGCGGAGCGCCAAAGGGGGCGAAAGCUCCCCCUCCACGAGGGGCCCGCGCACCAUCAGCUAGUCGGCGGGUAACGGCCCACCGAGGCUUACGGUUAGCUGGUCUGAGAGGAUGGCCAGCCGCACUGGGACUGAGAUACUGCCCAGACUCCUACGGGAGGCUGCAGUCGAGGAUCAUUCGCAAUGGGCGAAAGCCUGACGAUGCGACGCUGCGUGGAGGAUUGAAGGCCUUCGGGUUGUAAACUCCUGUCAUGAGGGAAAAGGAGACCUUACCUAAUACGUAGGGGAUUUGAUGGUACCUCAAGAGGAAGGGACAGCUAACUCUGUGCCAGCAGCAGC
rnacentral:rRNA from 1 species